GCGUUAACGAACGAGACCUCAGCCUGCUAACUAGCUAUGCGGAGGCGACCCUCCGUGGCCAGCUUCUUAGAGGGACUAUGGCCGUUUAGGCCACGGAAGUUUGAGGCA
rnacentral:rRNA from 1 species